rnacentral:lncRNA from 1 species
AUUUCAUCAUAAGUCUUCAUCUUCUAAUGAACUCCGUUGUUAUGAUGAAGUCCUUAGGACUAUUUAAGUUCGAUAAAGAGAGAAUUUAUCGAUUAGUCCUUAAAACUGUUCACGAUCAAAUGAUAAGCUGUUAAUAAGGACGACAGCUUCUAUCGAGCAUAGGUCGCUGUAGGCCAUAUGAGUUGGUUGUCCUCUUAACCAAGGAGUGUGGAGACACUGGUAUGGCAUACAGGUGA